AACGAACGCUGGCGGCAUGCCUAACACAUGCAAGUCGAACGAAGUCUUCAGACUUAGUGGCGCACGGGUGCGUAACGCGUGGGAAUCUGCCCUUGGGUACGGAAUAACUCAGAGAAAUUUGUGCUAAUACCGUAUAAUGUCUUCGGACCAAAGAUUUAUCGCCCAAGGAUGAGCCCGCGUAAGAUUAGCUAGUUGGUGGGGUAAAAGCCUACCAAGGCGACGAUCUUUAGCUGGUCUGAGAGGAUGAUCAGCCACACUGGGACUGAGACACGGCCCAGACUCCUACGGGAAGCAGCAGUGGGGAAUAUUGGACAAUGGGCGAAAGCCUGAUCCAGCAAUGCCGCGUGAGUGAUGAAGGCCCUAGGGUUGUAAAGCUCUUUUACCAGGGAUGAUAAUGACAGUACCUGGAGAAUAAGCUCCGGCUAACUCCGUG
rnacentral:rRNA from 1 species